rnacentral:rRNA from 1 species
AGAGUUUGAUCCUGGCUCAGGACGAACGCUGGCGGCGUGCUUAACACAUGCAAGUCGAGCGGAAAGGGCCCUUCGGGGUACUCGAGCGGCGAACGGGUGAGUAACACGUGAGCAACCUGCCCUUAGCUCUGGGAUAGCUCCGGGAAACCGGAAUUAAUACCGGAUAUGACCAUGGCCGACAUCGGUUGUGGUGGAAAGAUUUAUCGGCUGGGGAUGGGCUCGCGGCCUAUCAGCUUGUUGGUGGGGUAAUGGCCUACCAAGGCGACGACGGGUAGCCGGCCUGAGAGGGCGACCGGCCACACUGGGACUGAGACACGGCCCAGACUCCUACGGGAGGCAGCAGUGGGGAAUAUUGCGCAAUGGGCGGAAGCCUGACGCAGCGACGCCGCGUGGGGGAUGAAGGCCUUCGGGUUGUAAACCCCUUUCGGCAGGGACGAAGCGGAAGUGACGGUACCUGCAGAAGAAGCACCGGCUAACUACGUGCCAGCAGCCGCGGUAACACGUAGGGUGCAAGCGUUGUCCGGAAUCAUUGGGCGUAAAGAGCUCGUAGGCGGUCUGUCACGUCUGCUGUGAAAACUCGGGGCUUAACCCCGAGCUUGCAGUGGAUACGGGCAGACUAGAGGUAGGUAGGGGAGAAUGGAAUUCCCGGUGUAGCGGUGAAAUGCGCAGAUAUCGGGAGGAACACCGGUGGCGAAGGCGGUUCUCUGGGCCUUACCUGACGCUGAGGAGCGAAAGCGUGGGGAGCGAACAGGAUUAGAUACCCCCGUAGUCC